rnacentral:rRNA from 1 species
GAUGAACGCUGGCGGCGUGCCUAAUACAUGCAAGUCGAGCGAAGCGGGGACGGGUGAGUAACACGUGGAUAACCUCCUAUAAGACUGGGAUAACUUCGGGAAACCGGAGCUAAACCGGAUACUCAGAGAUGGAUACGCGCCGCAUUAGCUAGUUGGUAAGGUAACGGCUUACCAAGGCAACGAUGAGUAGCCGACCUGAGAGGGUGAUCAGCCACACUGGAAAGGAGGCACGGUCCAUACGCCUGCGGGAGGCAGCAGUAGGGAAUCUUCCGCAAUGGGCGAAGGCCUGACGGAGCAACGCCGCGUGAGUGAUGAAGGUAUUCGGAUCGUAAAACUCAGUUAUUAGGGAAGCGGUACCUAAACAGAAAGCCACGGCUAAAUACGUGCCAGCAGCCGCGGUAAUUC